ACUCAAAUGAAUUGACGGGGACCCGCACAAGCGGUGGAGCAUGUGGUUUAAUUCGACGGUAAGCGAGGAACCUUACCAAGGCUUGACAUGUACCUGCAUCUUCUGGAAACAGAAGCGCCUUCGAGGGUGGUACACAGGUGCUGCACGGUUGUCGUCAGCUCGUGUCGUGAGAUGUGCACUUAAGUGUGCGAACGAGCGCAACCCCUAUUGUUGGUUACAAGUGUCCAACGAGACUGCCAGGGUUUAACCUGGAGGAAGGUGGGGAUGACGUCAAAUCAGCGUGGCUCUUACGCCUUGGGCUACACACGUGCUACAAUGGGUAGGAACAAAGGGACGCCAAAGAGCAAUCUGGAGCAAAUCCCGGCAAAACUACCCUCAGUUCAGAUUGUGGGCUGCAACUCGCCCGCAUGAAGUUGGAAUCGCUAGUAACCGUAGAUCAGCCUCGCUACGGUGAAUACGUUCUCGGGUUUUGUACACACCGCCCGU
rnacentral:rRNA from 1 species